rnacentral:tRNA from 1 species
GCAUCGGUGGUUCAGUGGUAGAAUGCUCGCCUGCCACACGGGCGGCCCGGGUUCGAUUCCCGACCGAUGCA